CGUCUUCAAAACCUGUCUUAAAAUUGAAGAAAGGCGAAUGAAGAUAAACUGUAUGAAAUAAAGUCAAUGUGGAAACAUCUUUCUCAGAGGAGUGGCAGGAGACCCAAGCUUUGCAGUCCCUUUUCCUGUUGACUUGAAGUCGUCUGGCAGGUUAAAGAAUUAGUGGGACAUGCAGAAGCUAUGCUGUUUUAUUGCAUUAACCCUUCUUGUUAAACUGGAGAUUUUGGAAACUGAAAUCAAGCUACACCGUAAUCUGAAAGCUGGCAGACUAAGAGGACCCUGAGAGAUAGGAUGGCAGCAGUGCAGCAGGGUGAUUUGUACACACUGAGGUGACGCCGGGCUUCUCUUUGAGAACCACGUUUGAAUUCCUGGGAUGGGCAUUUGGAUGGGCAUGAAUGGGCAUGAAUGGCUACAAGAGCAGAAGGAAAAGGGAAGAUUUAUCUUGCACUUGCUCUAUGAUCUCCUGAGAUGGCAUUAGUUCUGGUGCUGCCCUCAUCAGAGCAAGCCCAUGGAAGCCAGUCCUGCUGGAACUUGAGGCCCCUAAAGACAUUUCAAGGAAUGCAAAUUUUGAACAUAAAGCAACAGACAGAAUUGGCCAAAUUAUGUCUAAAAUGGGAUUUGAGCUGCUGGAUUAUUCAGAUUCCUUGGAGAUGCCUCAGUUCUGCAUUUCCUGAUGUGUGUGUGCACGGACAGAGCUCAGCUGUGAGGUGGCCGUACACACCACUCUGUUCCUACCCCUGCGUAACACUCUGUAAUUCCAUAAAUGAUGUUAACUUUAAUGAUUUAACAAGAAAUAUAAUUACGGUUUCUACAGCAACCGUGGCUUUAAAUAUCCUGAAUUAUGUACAUGUAUAAUCUCAAACGUAAUGAAAUAGUAAUGCAGCUCAUUGCAUGUAAAUUACAUUCAAAGUUAGGACUUUUAAGAGAAAACUGCUUCUGAGUGAUCAGGAUGGAAAAAUAUGUAUGAGAAGCCCCUCCCUAGCAUGAGAAUUUCUGCUGAUUCGUGCUUGGAAAGCUAAAAAUAAAAUAAAGCAGAGGGUUGCUUUUU